AACAAAAAAACGUUUCCAAGAGUUCCAAGAGACAUAUGUAAAGAAGUAAGAUGGGGAGGGGGCCAGAAAGAGGACACACAGGCAGCAGCGAGCGUGGGACUACCCUGUCGGGAUCCAAUUACAACAGACAAACGAGGGGCUGAAUAAAAACAAUGCACUCUGGGAGCUCCUCUGCACGACAGACCAAGCCGGACCGAGGGGCCAGCAGUGGCACUGCAGAUGCUCUGGGAGGCAGCAGGAGUCAGCCCAGCUGCUGGCUGCCUCCGGCCGGCCGGCCGGCCCUUCUGUGGGGUCUGGGCCUGGCUAUCAGUACCAAUCCAAGACUUGCCAUCUGCAGAAGAUCUCAAAUGGGCUGUAAUGAGGGAGGGUGGUGAACCUCAUCUGCAGCACAGGAAGACUGAGCAAAUGGUGGGUGACUUCUGGCAGACAAAGUCUUCUCAGUCACCAUCCAAGUUAAAUAUGUGGUGUAAGCCUUCAGGAACCUAGGAGGUACACUUGGAUGACAAUGAGGGGUGGGGCUUCAAACCUGGACACCCUCUGCUUCAGUGUUUACCAGCCAGUGCGUUUUUGCUCCCUCCCAGCUCCCUGCCAGACAGUCCACAUUGCCAAACUUGCUCCUUCCUACCACUGUUUGUAAAACUGCUCUAGGCUCAACCAGUUGGCCAUUAUGUUUUGUCUGUAUGUAGUAUUUGUUUCAUUGUAACACAGACACAUAAUGGUUAUUUCUCAUAUGUUUGCACAUCUGUACAUUUAAUUUAUUCACAUCUGUAAAUUUAUUUUUACCUUUAAUUAUACUCAUUUAUUCUGCCCCUUUUCCUAUUUCUGUUCCUGUUUUUGCUGCUGUGCUGCUGUAACAUCCUAAUUUCCCCCUGGGGAUCAAUAAAGUUCCAUCUAAUCUC